rnacentral:rRNA from 1 species
CAAUAGCGUAUAUUAAAGUUGUUGCAGUUAAAAAGCUCGUAGUUGGAUUUCUGGUGGGAGCGAUCGGUCUGGCGCUUAGCGCGAGUACUUGCAUCGUCUCCGGCCAUCCUUGGGGAGAGUCUGUCUGGCAUUAAGUUGUCGGGCAGAGGAUCCUCAUCGUUUACUGUGAAAAAAUUAGAGUGUUCAAAGCAGGCUUAUGCCGUUGAAUAUAUUAGCAUGGAAUAAUAAGAUAGGACUUUGGUACUAUUUUGUUGGUUUGCGCACCAAAGUAAUGAUUAAUAGAGACAGUUGGGGGUAUUCGUAUUCCGUUGUCAGAGGUGAAAUUCUUGGAUUUACGGAAGACGAACUACUGCGAAAGCAUUUACCAAGGAUGUUUUCAUUAA